CCAAGGCUUGAGGAAUUCUGUACUUACUCCCACUGUCACCCUGCUCUUCAUCCCCCAGCUCAGGUAAGGGGAACGCAGGGAAGGCUGAAGAGUGCUAGCUGCGGAAGCACUGAAUUAGGGUGUCCUCAGCCCUCCAUUCCCAACUGGAAGCCAGUAGUUCACUUAGUGUAUAUAGCAGAGCCUCAAAAGCACAAGCAUUUUGAGUGUCGUUUUUCUGUGCCCUCCAGCGAUGAGAUGGCAAAUGGUGGGAAAGUGUCAGCUGUGUGAAAAGAUAGUGAUUG
rnacentral:lncRNA from 1 species